GGUUCGUUGGCCGAGAGGUUAGGCACCGGUCUGCAAAACCGUCUACGGCGGUUCGAAUCCGCCACGAACCUCAA
rnacentral:tRNA from 1 species